UCUCGACUAGUAUAUCGGUUUAGUACACGCGCCUGUCAUAAUUCGUAAUAGCAUGAGCUUUCGCGCGAAAGCUGGGUUCGACUCCCAGGUCGAGAG